AAUAUCAAAUCACUAUAUUAUAUAACAGGAAUUAACACAAUGUUGCAGGUCAACUGUAUUUCAAAAACAAAUUAUAGAGGGCUUCCCUGGCGGUUCAGUGGUAAAGAAUCUGCCUGCCAAUGCAGGAGGCAUGGGUUUGCUCCCUGAUCUAGGAAAAUGCCACGUGCUUCAGAGCAACUAAGCUCAUGUACCACAACUACUGAGCCUGUGCUCUAGACCCCAGGAACUGCAACUACUGAAGCCCCCAUGCCCUAGACCGCCUGCUCUGCAACAAGAGAAGCCGUCGGAUGAGAAGCCUGCGCACCAAAGUAGAGAGUAGACCCUCACUCACCACAACUAGAGAAGAGCUUGUGCAGUAAUGAAGACCCAGCACAGUCUAGCGAAUAAUAAAAUUAUUUUCAGAUCAGAUUUGUGAUUACCAGAAAGUGAGGGCUUGAGAGAGGGAAAACUGGAUGAAGGCAAUCAAAAGGCACAAAUUUCCAGGUAUAAGAUAAAUAAGUACUAGGAAUGUAAUGUGUAAAUGAUAAACAUAAUUAACACUGCAUGUGUUAUAUAUAAAAAUUAAGAGCAAAUUCUAAGGGUUCUCAUAAUAAGAAAACAUUUUUUCCAAUUUCUUUAAUUUUGUAUCUAUAUUAAAUGGCAAAUGAUCACUAAAUUUCACUGUGAUAAUCAUUUCAUGAAGUAUGCAAGUCAAAUCAUUAUACUGCGCACCUUAAACAUACAAUGCUGUACGUCAACCACACCUCAAUAAAACUGGAAGGGAAAAAAGAGAGAAAAUAUACAUGCAUAUACUUUCACCCAACAUUUGCACUUCUAAGAGUGUAUUAUAAGGAAAUAGAAUAUACACAGAAUUUAUGACAGAGAUAUUCACUAUAAAAUUAUUCAAAAAAAGAAAACAAUCUAAAGGGCUCACAAUCAAUAAUUAGUUAAAUAAUUUAUUUAUAUAAAUUUAUAUUAUUUUUAACUUUUCAUUUUAAAAUAAUUUUAGACUUACUAAAAGGUGUGCUGUGAUUCAUGGGGUCGGAAAUAGUCGGACACAGUGGAGCGACUGAACUGAACUGAACUGAACUGAAAAGGUGUUUGGCAGUGCAAAGAGGUCUUUAUAAUAACUUUGGAACAAAUUCAAACUGAAUUCAUAAAACCUAGAAAGGCAUUUUGGUGGGUGCUUUCUAAGUAGCUAGGGGGAUUUGUCGACCAAUUCUGAAAGUCUUUUGUGGGGAGAAUAUGGACUAGGUACACUUCUGUGCAGUCUGAGAAAUUCAAAAGUCAUGUUGACUUUGACCAGGCUAAUGUAGAACUGUGAGCUCCCUAUUGCUGAUAGCUUGAUUACAGAUUGCAAUACUAAUUCUCCAUUCCCUAUGGAUGGUACUACCUGUAGAGGAAAGUUAGAGAAACAUAAAAGAUCGAAAUAACAUUCAGAUAGAAAGAAAUUUUGAAAAGUACAAACCAGUGACAGUCAAGUUUCAAGAAAAUUCUAUGACUGAUUGCUAAUCAGAAUUUAGAAGAUUUUAGUAAUGUAGACAGCUACAUCAUGA
rnacentral:lncRNA from 1 species